rnacentral:rRNA from 1 species
GAGAGCGGCGCACGGGUGCGGAACACGUGUGCAACCUGCCUUUAUCUGGGGGAUAGCCUUUCGAAAGGAAGAUUAAUACCCCAUAAUAUAUUGAGUGGCAUCACUUGAUAUUGAAAACUCCGGUGGAUAGAGAUGGGCACGCGCAAGAUUAGAUAGUUGGUGAGGUAACGGCUCACCAAGUCAAUGAUCUUUAGGGGGCCUGAGAGGGUGAUCCCCCACACUGGUACUGAGACACGGACCAGACUCCUACGGGAGGCAGCAGUGAGGAAUAUUGGACAAUGGGUGAGAGCCUGAUCCAGCCAUCCCGCGUGAAGGACGACUGCCCUAUGGGUUGUAAACUUCUUUUAUACUGGGAUAAACCUACCCUCGUGAGGGUAGCUGAAGGUACAGUAUGAAUAAGCACCGGCUAACUCCGUGCCAGCAGCCGCGGUAAUACGGAGGGUGCAAGCGUUAUCCGGAUUUAUUGGGUUUAAAGGGUCCGUAGGCGGACUCGUAAGUCAGUGGUGAAAUCUCAUAGCUUAACUAUGAAACUGCCAUUGAUACUGCGGGUCUUGAGUAAAGUAGAAGUGGCUGGAAUAAGUAGUGUAGCGGUGAAAUGCAUAGAUAUUACUUAGAACACCAAUUGCGAAGGCAGGUCACUAUGUUUUAACUGACGCUGAUGGACGAAAGCGUGGGGAGCGAACAGGAUUAGAUACCCUGGUAGUCCACGCCGUAAACGAUGCUAACUCGUUUUUGGGUUUUCGGAUUCAGAGACUAAGCGAAAGUGAUAAGUUAGCCACCUGGGGAGUACGUUCGCAAGAAUGAAACUCAAAGGAAUUGACGGGGGCCCGCACAAGCGGUGGAUUAUGUGGUUUAAUUCGAUGAUACGCGAGGAACCUUACCAAGGCUUAAAUGGGAAUUGACAGGUUUAGAAAUAGAUCCUUCUUCGGACAAUUUUCAAGGUGCUGCAUGGUUGUCGUCAGCUCGUGCCGUGAGGUGUUAGGUUAAGUCCUGCAACGAGCGCAACCCCUGUCACUAGUUGCCAUCAUUCAGUUGGGGACUCUAGUGAGACUGCCUACGCAAGUAGAGAGGAAGGUGGGGAUGACGUCAAAUCAUCACGGCCCUUACGCCUUGGGCCACACACGUAAUACAAUGGCCGGUACAGAGGGCAGCUACUAUGCGAAUAGAUGCGAAUCUCGAAAGCCGGUCU